rnacentral:lncRNA from 1 species
CCCUAAGCUUGGUUUUGUCCCACGUGGUUUUCCAAGCUUAGGUUUUUAAUGAGGUUAUUCAUACAAGUGCCAAGUUUAUACACAAUUGGGCAUUGUGGUAUAAACUUGAGGGGGAGUGUUAAUCAAGAAGACAUUUAACACUAACUAAGUCAUAGUUAAGGGUUAAAUGUAGGUUACUUGGGUUACUCGGGUUACAGGUUACUUGGGUUACUCGGGUUACAGGUUACUUGGGUUACUCGGGUUACAAGUCUGAAUGAGGGUGCUAUUGGUCUUUGUGCACAACCCAUAAACCCUAGAGAGUGUGUUCUCAUAUAAAAGCACUUGUGUGCCUCCACUUUGUAAUACAA